GAUGAAGAACGCAGCAAAAUGCGAUAAGUAAUGUGAAUUGCAGAAUUCAGUGAAUCAUCGAAUCUUUGAACGCACCUUGCGCUCCUUGGUAUUCCAAGGAGCAUGCCUGUUUGAGUAUCAUUAAAUUAUCAACUGUGCCAAUUUGGUUACAGAUUGGAUGUGGGAGAUUCUUUUUGCAGGCCUUUGACUUCUCUUUGAGAAAAAAAAUAAAAGGUCGGCUCUCCUGAAAUGUAUUAGCAGUGCCUUUGUUGGUUCAUUAGGUGUGAUAAAUUGUCUACAUCUUCGCAUGAUACCUUCAUUUGUAAAGGUCAUAUUGCUUCUAAAUUGUCUUUGAUUGGACGCAAAACAUAUAUAAUGUUUGACAAACUUGAUCUCAAAUCAGGCAGGACUACCCGCUGAACUUAAGCAUAUCAAUAAGCGGAGGA
rnacentral:misc_RNA from 1 species